GAUGAACGCUGGCGGCGUGCUUAACACAUGCAAGUCGAACGGUGAAGCAGGAGCUUGCUCUUGUGGAUCAGUGGCGAACGGGUGAGUAACACGUGAGCAACCUGCCCCUGACUCUGGGAUAAGCGCUGGAAACGGCGUCUAAUACUGGAUAUGUGAUGUGACCGCAUGGUCUGCAUCUGGAAAGAAUUUCGGUUGGGGAUGGGCAUCGCGGCCUAUCAGCUUGUUGGUGGGGUAAUGGCUCACCAAGGCGUCGACGGGUAGCCGGCCUGAGAGGGUGACCGGCCACACUGGGACUGAGACACGGCCCAGACUCCUACGGGAGGCAGCAGUGGGGAAUAUUGCACAAGGGGAGCAAGCCUGAUGCAGCAACGCCGCGUGAGGGGUGACGGCCUUCGGGUUGUAAACCUCUUUUAGUAGGGAAGAAGCGAAAGUGACGGUACCUGCAGAAAAAGCACCGGCUAACUACGUGCCAGCAGCCGCCGCCG
rnacentral:rRNA from 1 species